rnacentral:ncRNA from 1 species
CCGUCGGUGUCAGCUUUUCCUCUCCCUGCGAGGCAGAGCUCAUCAAGCGUUGGCUUGUUCACCAGCGAACGGGGAACGUGAGCCGGGUUUCGACCGGCUCAGGGCAGGUU